rnacentral:rRNA from 1 species
CCUACGGGGGGCAGCAGUAAGGAAUAUUGGUCAAUGGACGCAAGUCUGAACCAGCCAUGCCGCGUGGAGGAUGAAGGUCCUCUGGAUUGUAAACUUCUUUUAUUUGGGAAGAAACCCACGAUUUCUAUUGUGGUUGAUGGUACCAGAUGAAUAAGCACCGGCUAACUCCGUGCCAGCAGCCGCGGUAAUACGGAGGGUGCAAGCGUUAUCCGGAUUCACUGGGGCUAAAGGGUGCAGGUGCGGGCAGGUUGACAUCCCCGGGCUUAACUUGGGAACUGCCGUUGAUACUAUCUGUCUUGAAUACUGUGGAGGUAAGCGGAAUAUGUCAUGUAGCGGUGAAAUGCUUAGAUAUGACAUAGAACACCUAUUGCGAAGGCAGCUUGCUACACAGUCAUUGACGCUGAGGCACGAAAGCGUGGGGAUCAAACAGGAUUAGAUACCCUAGUAGUC